AUAUAGAAACACCAUAGACUACCUGGAAAAGAAAUGCAGGUAGUGCUUGCAGGAAAAUGCAAUCAAAAUUGAACUUGAUAAUUAACCUCAUGCAACAAGGAAGAAGGGGAAGUUGAAAGGAUUCCAAGAUUUUGAGUUAUUAGCAACAGCAACAAAAAUCACACCUUGUACCUAAAUUUAAGAAAUAAUAGCUUUCCUCUAUUUACUCAUCUAGUAUUAUUGUGUUAAACAACCUCUCAUUUUAAAAUGUAGAUACUUAUGGCAUUUUGUAUUUUUCCUAUACACUGACUUGUGAAGUUCUGAGAAGAAAUUUGUUUAUUUAAGGGGCUUCAAAAAUCAAUUUUAAUGUCCAUAGAGAUACAGUUUGUUCUCUGUAAUCAUCCAGAGUGCUCAAAAUUCUGUGGUAGGCUGCACCUGAUUACUCUAGAAAAUUCAUUAGUUCACUUGUUUAUUCAUACAUGCAAGCAACGAUUUAACUGAAUGUGGAUGUGGUUAGGUGUUAGAGAUAACAGAAGUAACAUGCAUGUCAGUGUGCUAAUAUAACUCUCCUGCAUAAUUGGUUUUAGGUAAUAAGGUUGUUAUUGAUCUGUUCUCUUUUCAGUACUUUUGGGUAUAUAAAGUGUAAGCUAUAAGCAUCAUGGGACUUUUUUUUUUUCUGCCUAGUGUCUCUUUCUGUUUUUCUGAUAACUGCAAUUGGAUUUUGCCUUGGUGAAAAAACUGUUUCCCCAGAGAUCUGAGUCUGGUAAGAAUAUUAGUCAAAGCACCCCAUUCUUAUCCAAUCAGGAUAUAGGCACGUGACCUAGGCUUGGCUCGAUGUUUUCUCUGGAAUGUCUCUCUUGAGCAAAGCGCUCAAGAGUUAGAAAAUUUUGGAAUUGAAUUAUUGGUCUAUGUUCCUGCUUCCUAGACCACUGAGCUGCCCUGGUUUUGUGCUUUUGAGUCUAAUUUUUAGGUUUUUUUCUUUAGGUUUUCCUUAGGUUAUCUUUAAGUUACACAAAUUCCCUUUCUACUUCAGAGGACCAGAGUCAGUUUCUAUUACACAGUACAAAAAUCUAAUAAAUACAAAGUGGUGGUAAUGUUUCCAACAAACUUCCUUAAGGGAAAUUUAGUUUAUAUUGAGAAAUGUCAUUUAAUAAAUAAUUUUUAAAAUUGCCCUUUCCAUCAAUGAGUAAUUUCUUAUGUUGUCUUUCUCUUCUUCAACCACAGAACCUAAAUGUCAAAAUAUUUUCCUCUCUCCAAGAAUCUCAUUUGUGAACAUUUGUUCAGUCUUUCUUUAACCCAUCCAUAUUCCUAUUUUCUAUUGUAGGUGCUCAGUUUUAUGUUUGACUCCACAAUUGGUGUGAAAUCUAACAGAUGAUAGAUACAUACGGAAAGAGAAAGAGGAAAAAAAUGGAGUUCAUGUUUUCUUGCUGUCUUAUUUCUUGUUUUUUUCUUCUUUUUUUUAAAGCAAGAUUUUAUUCCAAAUAAUUUUUGAAGGAAUACGUAAAAAAUCCUGAAAUAUUGCCUACCCAUAUCUGGGUGUAGACUUAAGAAAAGAUAGUUUUAUUUCUUUCUUCCAAUACAACAAAAACAACCCUAAAUAUAAAGUCCAUUUCUAUCUUUCAUCCAGAAUUAUGUCUUUAACAAAAAUGCCUAAAAGUCUGUGAGAUUCAUUUACUUCAUUUAUAAACUAGGGCUAAUAAUGGCUUAAGUUUAUUUAAGGAAUAAGUGAGACUUUAUAUGUGCAUUGGCACCAGUCUAAGUAACUCAGAGUCCAACUCAGAGUAGGCACAGCUCUCCAACCCACAGAAGAUUCUGUGCUAAUGAUAGAAGUGAUGAAGCUAUUAACAGGGAGGUCAAUGUGAGGGAAGAUAAAUGAAGACAAAGAUAAGCAAGCAGACUGCAGACUUAAAAAGAUAAAUGAAGACAAAGAUAAGCAAGCAGACUGCAGACUUAAACCCUUCAGAAACCAAGCAGAAGAGCAAGACAGCUUUUGUACUAAUAAUCAAGAAAGCUUUGCGGGGCACUCUGCUCUUCCAGGAAUGGAAAGAAAAUAAUUUUUAAGGGCUUGAGCAACAGAAAUGUAAUUCAGGAGUUCCCAUUGUGGCUCAGUGGUUAACGAAUCCGACUAGGAACCAUGAGGCUGCGGGUUCGGUCCCUGCGCUUGCUCAGUGGGUUAACGAUCCGGCGUUGCCCUGAGCUGUGGUGUAGGUUGCAGACACGGCUCGGAUCCUGUGUUGCUGUGGCUCUGGCGUAGGCCGGUGGCUACAGCUCCGAUUCGACCCCUAGCCUGGGAACCUCCAUAUGCCGUGAGAGCGGCCCAAGAAAUAGAAAAAAGACAAAAAGAAAAGAAAAAGAAAUGUAAUUCAUUAAAUGAAAGUAGCAUCAAUAUAAUGAACAGGAAAAGAGAAAGUGAACGAUCCGGCGUUGCCCUGAGCUGUGGUGUAGGUUGCAGACACGGCUCGGAUCCUGUGUUGCUGUGGCUCUGGCGUAGGCCGGUGGCUACAGCUCCGAUUCGACCCCUAGCCUGGGAACCUCCAUAUGCCGUGAGAGCGGCCCAAGAAAUAGAAAAAAGACAAAAAGAAAAGAAAAAGAAAUGUAAUUCAUUAAAUGAAAGUAGCAUCAAUAUAAUGAACAGGAAAAGAGAAAGUGAAAAGGAGAAAGACAAUGGAGCAUCAGCAAGGAAACUAGAAUGACGAGAAUUAUUUUACACAGUUCUCUAGGAAUGCCAGUAAUUCCACAUUCAAUUCAUCUAUCUGUAAACUUUAUUCCCUCUCCCUACACGAGCAAACUUGGAAGAGGAGGGGAAAAACAAAAACAAAAACAAAACUGAAAUCUGUGAAACUCUUAAUGUGAGUUUUCCAUUACAGAUUUCCUGAAAUUUCACCUGCUUGUCCACAUGGACAUCAGGGCCCUUCCAUAAAAAGAAAGUCCAGAGACUAAACUUAUUUGCAAAGUAUUCUGGCUUUUCCAUUGACUACUGAGAACAAUCACUGAAGAAAACAAACCUGACAUUCAAUGAAGCCCAUGAUUAUUCUUCAGUAUGUGCUUCAGGAGACAUGAUCUCAGCUAACCGGAGCUCUUUCUUCUGAACGUUCUUUCCAAUGCAAAAGGCAGUUCAAUUACUGGCAAAUCUGAAUAAUCUAUUUAUUUAAAAACACCUGGGGCAUCAAGUGUCAGAGCUAAAGCAAUUUAAAAUGGCAAGCCAGAUUUCUUUCAAAUUAAAAUAUGAGGAUAUUCCCUUGUGGCACAGCAGGUUAAGGAUCUGGCAUUGUCACUGGAGCAUCUCAGGUUGCUGCUGUGACACAGGUUGAGUCCCUCACCCAGGAACUCCCACAUGCUACAGGUACAGCCAAAAAAAAAAAAAAAAAAAAAAAAAAAAAAAUCAUGAGGGUACAACACAUUCGGGCUAAUAAUUUGGAGGCAUUAUGGCCAUGCAUUUAUGUGAGUAUUUAAACAAUGAUGGCUUCAUUAUAACAAAUUUUUAUCUAUGGCCAAGAUAUAAUUAUAGAAUACAGAUGAACUGUACUCAUAUACUUAGUAGCUAUAUCUUGAUAGCAACUGAUCUAACCUCUCAGGGCUUUAACUGAAUUAUCUUUCAAAUGAAGAUAAAUAAUAAUUUUCAUGGCUGAACUGAAAUGCAUGUGUUCUCAACUAAAUUCCUUCUAUAUCUAUCUGUUUUAUUUAGAUUUAGAUACUACUAUUCACUUAAUUUGCAAGAGAAAACUAGAAAAGAGAAAUAAAAUAAUAAAUUGCUUGCAUUAAUAGUAUUGUGGCACAUAAGUUGUUUGGAGUGGGAGCUGGGUGCUAUGAUGUCAAAAAACUAAAAAUGUUGAUUUGAAGUUAUUUUGCUCAUCUUUUCAUCUUUUUGAGAAGGUUAAUAACAGACAUUACCUUGCUCCAGGCCAGGUAACUGCUAUCAGAGAUAGAGGAUUCAAACUUAGAAUCCAGUGGUCUUCCCACUUUUGAACUGAGUCACGUUCUUUCAUUUCAAAUUGGUCUUUAAUUCAAUGAGUGAAGAUGCAGUCUUUGAUCUGUAGCCUCUCUGGCAGGAGCUACUGUUCCUGUCCUCAAUCAUUAAAAGAACUUCUGGGUCUACUGUUUAAGUAUCAUCCUUGGCUUCUCCUAAUCUUAUCUCCAAUACCUGUGAAAAAUUAUUAAUAAUACUACCUAAAAUUUAUUUAGAGAGUGUUUUUUAAGUUCAUAAGUCCCUUUUAUUCUUAUUAUGUUAAAUGUUCCACAUAACUGCACUAUGAGAAAGGCAAGGAAGAUAUUACCACUCCUGUUUCACUGGAGUUAAAUGAUUUUCCCCAUGUUGCAGAGAAACCAAGUUUCCCAUCUCUAAUUCUAGAGUGCUUUUCAAUGCCUCAAACAGCUGCAGAGACACCAAGAUAGAUUGAUAACUUGCUACCACCAACUUGACACAUGGCCUAUUUACCCCCACAAACUGGCACAGAGUACAGAAAAGUUGGCAGCCUGAAAUAUACAAACCCUACUUUAAAGAAUAUAAACAUAAUUAUAUAACAAAUAACAUACACCCUUAAAAUCUCAUUAAGGUAUUUUGAAAUAAUUUUUCUAUUUACAAAUAAUAUCAGUUAUAGCAAAAGAGGGGAAGGAGAGAAAUGAUAAGCUCUUGGGUUCUCAGUCAGACACACUCAUCAUAGAAGAAUCAAAUAUAUCUCUUCCCCCUUUGGGGGCUCCUUGUCCAUCAAAUGAUGCUAAUCAAACUUGACAAAUAUCUUUAUUUGCAAAGUGCACUGAUGAAGAAUGGUAGUCUUCAUAAAAGAGCAUCAGAGAGGACACAGCUGCUUCAUUAUACCCCCUAAGCAUGUUGCUUAACCAUGAAAAGGGUCUUCAAGUUAAUUCAUAUCUCAGAAUUCUAAUUUUAUUUUCUAAAUGCAUUCAGAUUCAUGAUAGAUCAGGAGUUCCAUUUGUGGCUCAGUCAUUACAAACCUGACUAGUAUCCAUGAAGAUGUGGGUUCAAGUCCUGGCCUCGCUCAGUUGGUUAAGGAUCCAGCAUUGCCACAAGCUACAGUGUUGCUCAGAUCUGGCAUUGCUCUGGCUGUGGCUUAGGCUGGCAGCUGUGGCUCUGAUUUGACUCCUAGCCUGGGAACCUCCAAAUGCCCUAGAUGUGGUGCUAAAAAAAAAAAAAAAA
rnacentral:lncRNA from 1 species